rnacentral:rRNA from 1 species
CAGCCGCCGCGGUAAUACGUAGGUGGCAAGCGUUGUCCGGAAUUAUUGGGCGUAAAGCGCGCGCAGGCGGAUCAGUUAGUCUGUCUUAAAAGUUCGGGGCUUAACCCCGUGAUGGGAUGGAAACUGCUGAUUUAGAGUAUCGGAGAGGAAAGUGGAAUUCCUAGUGUAGCGGUGAAAUGCGUAGAUAUUAGGAAGAACACCAGUGGCGAAGGCGACUUUCUGGACGAAAACUGACGCUGAGGCGCGAAAGCCAGGGGAGCGAACGGGAUUAGAUACCCCGGUAGUCCCUGUCUCUUAUACA